CUUCAUUAUUGCAAAAAGCUCCAGCCCCAAACCAAAUGUCUACACUGCUGUUUUUAGCACCAUGGGGUUGACCCCCAGUCAUCUGAGCUGUGCUGUGAGACUUGCUGCCACAGGUUUUUUUGUGCUGCGUAGAUGUACCCAGAGAGACCUAAAUGCUGUCCAUAGUCAGACAGCUUCCUGUGUACCCAUCAGAAUUGCUCUAGUAUUACACAAAAACCUGACUAUUCAUUCAGUCUUCGUAGGCAACUAAUGAAAUUGAAGGCCAAAUAUCAAAGGGAGAAGACACAGGGCUGCAGAAUGUAAGAAAGCUAAAAGAACAGAGAAACUGGAAGAGUAAAGAAACAAAGUAACAAGAGACAGAAGGUGCAUGAUAAUACAUGGCGAGGAGCAAAGUGACAUAGAAAGGAAUAAAGAUGUGGCCAUCCUGGCUGAGCAUCUCCACCAGAUAAGAAAGUGCCCAAGACAUAGCAAAGAAGACAUGCUCUGGGAGGUCCUGCAGUGUUCCAAUUCAGAAAACAGGGAAUGAAAGGAGUGCUGGGAAGCCGAACGGCAGGACAGAAAAGAGAAUCACAUGUUUUUUAAAGAUGCCACUGAGCGGAUAAGUAAAGUAAUGGAGAAGCAAACACAGAUGCUGAAGUCCUUAAUAAUGCUUCAGACUGAGCAUAUCAGUGCUCAACCUCCACUGCAGCACAUUCAGAACUCUUUUCCAUGUCUCCCCACAAACUGUGCUCGCACAUUCCUUUUCACCUUUUGGGACUUCUCGGUUUCCCCUUCACUCCACCCCCUCAGAAAACUUUCACAAUGAUAGC